GAGUGAGUGGACGGUCUCUAGCCUCAAAAUGCCGUCCCACACCCUAAAAAUGGUGGGUUCCACCUCUAAGAAACCUUAGGGUUUGGUGCCAAGUGUCCCUCAAAGUUUGGGCCCAUCAUAAAAUUUGCCAACAUUGGCCCAUUGCACAAAAUCCUAAUUAAAGUUCCUACUAAGUUACAAUUUAAUUAAAAUUGAAAUGACUAAUUUUUGAGUCUUCUAUGUGCACGCC
rnacentral:lncRNA from 1 species